rnacentral:rRNA from 1 species
AGAGUUUGAUCCUGGCUCAGGAUGAACGCUAGCUACAGGCUUAACACAUGCAAGUCGAGGGGCAGCAUGUCGGUUGCUUGCAACCGAUGAUGGCGACCGGCGCACGGGUGAGUAACGCGUAUCCAACCUACCCUUGUCCAUCGGAUAACCCGUCGAAAGGCGGCCUAACACGAUAUGCGGUUCUCAGCAGGCAUCUAACGAGAACGAAAUGUGAAGGAGAAGGAUGGGGAUGCGUCUGAUUAGCUUGUUGGCGGGGUAACGGCCCACCAAGGCGACGAUCAGUAGGGGUUCUGAGAGGAAGGUCCCCCACAUUGGAACUGAGACACGGUCCAAACUCCUACGGGAGGCAGCAGUGAGGAAUAUUGGUCAAUGGACGAGAGUCUGAACCAGCCAAGUAGCGUGCAGGAAGACGGCCCUAUGGGUUGUAAACUGCUUUUAUAGGGGGAUAAAGUGUGCCACGUGUGGCAUAUUGCAGGUACCCUAUGAAUAAGGACCGGCUAAUUCCGUGCCAGCAGCCGCGGUAAUACGGAAGGUCCGGGCGUUAUCCGGAUUUAUUGGGUUUAAAGGGAGCGUAGGCCGUCUUAUAAGCGUGUUGUGAAAUGUCGGGGCUCAACCUGGGCAUUGCAGCGCGAACUGUGAGACUUGAGUGCGCAGGAAGUAGGCGGAAUUCGUCGUGUAGCGGUGAAAUGCUUAGAUAUGACGAAGAACUCCGAUUGCGAAGGCAGCCUGCUGUAGCGCAACUGACGCUGAAGCUCGAAAGCGUGGGUAUCGAACAGGAUUAGAUACCCUGGUAGUCCACGCGGUAAACGAUGGAUGCUCGCUGUUUGCGUCUGACGUAAGCGGCCAAGCGAAAGCGUUAAGCAUCCCACCUGGGGAGUACGCCGGCAACGGUGAAACUCAAAGGAAUUGACGGGGGCCCGCACAAGCGGAGGAACAUGUGGUUUAAUUCGAUGAUACGCGAGGAACCUUACCCGGGCUUGAACUGCAGGCGAACGAUUCAGAGAUGAUGAGGCCCUUCGGGGCGCCUGUGGAGGUGCUGCAUGGUUGUCGUCAGCUCGUGCCGUGAGGUGUCGGCUUAAGUGCC